UAAAGACUCACUACAGCCAAGAUAAAGACACAACUCAGCUGUACCAAAUCCACUAAUCACUGCACACAUUAGCACCAUGUGCUAACUGUGGCUAAAGAACCACAUUUACCAAGACAACUAUCCAGUACAAAGCCCUAAAACACACCAAGAAACACAUUAAAGACAAUUUUACUGCUGGAAGCUGCAAGCCAACACCUAAAGAACAAACUAAAGCAAUGGAGCCAAACCCGGUUCAGUGGUGAACAGAAACAGAGGAAAUGUUUGUCUGCUGCCAGAUAAAGCAGGAAGACACUGAGCUGCUCAGGUGUUCCUGAUAACACCAAGCAGCCACCUGGACAGCCAAUAGGAACACAGCUUCCUGGAAGUCCAGAGGGCUGGGUUAGUCAAGGAAAUUUAAAGUUGAGGCAGAAAGUUAACAAAGAAAGUUGAAAACCACCUUCUGAUCCCUGAAAUCUCUGAGUUUUCACACAAAGAACACCUGAACAUGUCAAACUGGUUCCAUAGUAGAACCAUCAUUGUAAAAACGUCAUAGUAUGGUAUGUUGCUCAAAAAACAUUAGGACCCGCUGUCUAGGGUCGCUGAUGAGCAACACAAAAACAGGACAAAUGCUGGUUUCCAGGGGGUUAGGAGGCUAUUUAUUUGAAAGAGGAAGUUUACAACAACACAACACGAGAGCAGAAAAAUCACAAAGUCUGUCUUUAGUUCAGCUGAAAAUAUUAGUUUUUGUCUUUUUUAUUGACCAAACUUUUCAGGAAGUAGAUGAAGAAUAAUUAAAGCUCUCAUGUAGAAGUCCAACUUAUUUUGGAUCCUUGUGGAGAGUUUAAUCUUAGAGUUUGUAAAGGUGUUGAGUUUUUAGAGUCACAUGGAUUGUUUUGAAAUUUAAUAACUGAGUCCUGAAAUAAAAUGACAGUUGUGGAUUUCUGUCAUUUAGUCUGUCAUUUAGGUUUUCUUUGAAGAAAAAAUCAUCAUGAAUUUUGGCGCAAAAAAACGCCAUAGUAUACU
ensembl:lncRNA